rnacentral:rRNA from 1 species
GCGAAAACUUUACAAUGCUGGCAACAGCGAUAAGGGAACCUCGAGUGCCAGGUUACAAAUCUGGCUGUCGAGAUGCCUAAAAAGCAUUUCAUAGCAAGGGCCAUGCAAGACCGGUGCCAGCCGCCGCGGUAACACCGGCGGCUCGAGUGGUAACCGUUAUUAUUGGGUCUAAAGGGUCUGUAGCCGGCCGGAUAAGUCUCUUGAGAAAUCUGGCAGCUUAACUGUCAGGCUUUCAGGAGAUACUGUCUGGCUCGAGGCCGGGAGAGGUGAGAGGUACUUCAGGGGUAGGGGUGAAAUCUUGUAAUCCUUGAAGGACAAACAGUGGCGAAGGCGUCUCACCAGAACGGACCUGACGGCAAGGGACGAAAGCUAGGGGCACGAACC